AUGGGCCCUGUGGCGUUCUCAAUAGUAAAAACUCCUGCAUGCAAAAUGGGGAGUGUAAAUACCACUAUCCCCGGGUAUUCUCAGAUGCUACAUUGCAAGGCAAGGACUCAUAUCCAAUUUAUAGACGCAGGGAUGAUGGCCGUAAAGUGCGCAUUAGGGGAUCUGUUUUGGAUAAUAGAUGGGUUGUGCCAUACAAUCCAUACUUACUUAUGA
rnacentral:rRNA from 1 species